UGUAAGAGGAGGAGUUGAGGAAGUGAUUAUAUUCAUUUAGAGACUAGAUGAAAUUUUCAAAUUUUUUUAAAGGAAAAAAGAAUUUUGUAAAAAAAAAAAAAAAUUAAACUUCAACCUCUUGAAUUGUUGACCAGUGACAUCCCAGUGAUCACUCUCUUCCAAUGCUGGCUAUUUAUUUCCAUAGUUUUUGGUUACUCUCCAGAACUUGACAGUAAGACACUACUACUGAAGAUAUAACACACUUCAGUAAAGAAAUGGAAAAAUUAAGCAAAAACUCACCUUGAAGCUUGAUCUCUACUAACUAGGAUCUGUACAACUUGACAAUGCUAUGCAAACUAUCUGACGAGAAAAGUAAUCAGGAGAUAUUCAACUUAUAACCAACCAAUGGUCCUUAGUUAUAUCACAGUUCAUUCCCAAAGUUUCCAUAUCAUUUCUGUGGUCCAAUAGCAAUCACUGACUCCACUAUUCCACACUAACUAUAUAUAGUGAAAGCAUGACCCAAUAACUAAUCCUUGUAUCUUCCAAAAUACCAAAUUACAGACUCAAUAAUCUCUAAUUUCUCUUUUGUUAUUGCUUACUUUUUUUAGUUGGUAUUCCUCUAGUUAUUUGACUUUGAUGAAAAACUUCUCAGAUUUCUUCUCCAUAUUAGAAGGCUAAUCUUAGGUUAAAGAACCUUCAAAGGUUCAAUCUGACCAAGAGUAUGCUCAAAAAACCCAGAAAAAUUUUUGAAAAUAGAACCACCUAUAAUUAGAGUUCAGUUUCACACAGAAACUUAAAAGCAUCCGAUCUUAUAACCAGAAGUCACCCUGAUAAAAAUGUUCAGCUCUCAUAAAAAAUUCUGAAAAAACAUUCAAGGAUCAACAAGGCAAAGUGAUUUGUCAAAUGGCAUAUUCUUAAGAUGUUAUGUAUUAUCCCUCAUAAUCACAGGCUGAGAAUAUGUAAUAGUUAUUUAGAAAUAAACUGCUACCACAAUAUAUUUCUGAGACACUAAAUAUUUUUCAUACAUUUAAUGAUUUUUCACUAACACUUAGUAAGCAAGCAUUAACUCAUUAACUAACUAUUCCUUAUAUAUUUUGCUACGUAUUCAAGGUAGCUUUAGUUGUGAAUUUGAUAGUCUAAUGUGUAGUGUGACCUAAGGGACUCUCAAUUGAGGGACUACCUAGAUUAAACUGGCCCAUGGGUGUGACUGGGGGAAAGGGGAAGGUCUUGAUUGAUGUAAGAGGGACCAGUGUACUGUGGAUAAUAGCAUUCCCUAGGCAGGUGGUUUUGGACUGUAAGUAAGUGGUGUUAGCAAUGCUUAGGUCUGAAAAUUGAGUCAGCAACAGUAUAAAGUUCCUGCCCUGACUACUUUGAACGAUGGCCUAUAACAUGUAAGCUGAAAUAAACCCUUUACUCCCCUAAGUUUCUUUUUGUUAGACUGUUAAAUAUAAACAGAACAUUAGGUUCCCAUUCUACUGAGACCUUAAAAGAAAUGAAGUGAUACUAAAUCUCAGAAAGGAAAAUAGUAAGAAUUGAGAAGAUGGGACACAAUCAUAUUUUGAUAGAGAUACUCAGAAAAGAUACCUAUGACAGGCAUUAUCUAAGAAUUCUGAAACAAGUAAAAAAGAAAAACACGUAGAUUAACUCAAGAGGGAACAGUCAGUAAGUUCCAGAACUAAAACCUCAAAAGUUGCAGGUUAAGAACAUAAUGCUAGUACAGGAUGUCACAUAAAUGAAAGAGCCAGUUCAGGGCUGUAUCAAUUUCUAACCAUAGUUUAAGAAAUAGGAAACCUUUGAAAAGUUGAGUAUAGAAAAGAUGGCUUAACUUUUUUUUAAUCAGAAAAGCCCAUUGAAUUGUUGGUAGUAAAUAGAGGUAGGAACAAAAGUACUGAGAAACAAUGAUGUCCCUUAUCAAAAGAUGGCAAUGGUACUACAAAUGCUUUUUAAAGAAGCUGAAAUGUAUUCUGAAGAUAAAUGCAACAUAACUUGCAAACAGUUCCAAUAUGUGACACAAAGAGAAACUAAGGAUGCUUUCUAGAAUUUGGUUUAAAAUAAAGUCCUACUAAAUAAGAUGCAAAUGUCUAUCAGAUUUCAAGGGAUUGAUAGCAUACAAAUAACAGUUCUAUUUUGGAUGAAUUGAUUUCUGGCUUUUUUGGGGGGUGGUGUAUACAUGUGUUGUGCACACAAACAUGGAGGCAUGCAUGCCCAUGCAUGUGCAUUUGGAGACCAGAAAGCAAAGGCGGUCAUAAUUUUCUAAUGCUCCUCACACAAUUUUUUAAGACGUGGUCUCUCCCUAAACCUGACACUUGCUGAAUUAUCUAGACUGAAUGAACACAUUUCAACCACCAUUCCAUUUCUGCCCCUCCACCAAGGCUGGGAUGAAAGGCCUUGCCUCACUUUUUACAUAGGUUCUGAAAUUCUAGUCCACAUAGUUGGAAAGCAGGACACUGAGCCAACUCUUUAGGCCCUGCUUUUAGCUGCUUUUUGUGUUUGUUUGUUUGUUUGUUUGUUUGUUUAAAGCCAUGAUCUCAUGUAACUUUGACUUGCCUUACUGUAUAGGCGAAGCUGUCCCUGAAUAAGCUCCCAAGUACCGGGAGUACAGAAGUGGAGCAAGCAAACAUACCCAGCCAAAUAUCAAAAUUCUUAAUACUUCUAUAUGCACAAAUUCAUAAUAUGAAAUUUUCAUAUAAUCCACCUAGAUAUCUUCUGGUUUUCUUUCUUCUUCUAUUAAACUCAUGGGCUAAAGGACAUCAAUGUCAAUGUGCAUGUUAUAUCCCAGUAUUAAGAGUCUCCAAAAUUAUUUGUAUUUCUUAAUAAGAGAACUUUACAAUCUCUUUAUUUCCAACCAUAACUCCUUUAUCUUAAGCAUAAUAAACACCAUAUGUAGGAUUAUUAAAAUGUUAUUCGUCUGUUAAAAACACUCACUCAUGCAAUAAUAAUUUUAAUAUAUGAAGACACGGCUGUUUUUCCAAAGUUUUUAUUUUCAUUGACAAAUAAGAACUACAUAUAUUAUCAUAUGCAAAAGUGAUACAUCAAAUGAGUUUAUAAAUUCUAACAUAGCACUUUUGCACAUAUACUUAAUAGUUGACUUUUAGUGAUAUUCAAGAAAAUAUACAGAAAGAAGUCACCAUGCUCUACAAUUUUGGUCCUGAACUACAUUCUAUUCAUUUUGCAUUUUUUAUGUCUAUCAUUUAUUCUACUCUAAGUAACAAACAAUUUUUAGAAUGUUUUUACAGUCUAUGUACAGGAAGAUGAUGCACUACCUGUUUUUGUGCUGAUUUAUUUCAUUGAAAAUAUAAAGGAUCAUUUCCAUCCAUGUUGUCACCGACAUAAGAUUUCAGAAAAAAAUUUUAAUGGCGAAAAAUUACAUCAUCAUAUAUGUCAAUUUUUAUUUGUUUAGCCACUGACAAACACUGGUUUAUUUCUGCAUUUUGUUUAAUUAAUGCUGCAAUCAAAAUUAAACUGCAGGUAUCUCUUAUAACACACUAUAUAUUUCUAUAAUACAAUUGCUAGGUCAUUGCAAUUUUUAGGAACCUGUUAUUUUCCAUAAUCGAUCUAAUUUACAUUCCAAACAACUGUGUACAAGAUUUCUGUUUGCUUACAACCUCACCAACAUGAACAUUCAUAUAUUCUAGCAGGUAGGAAGUAGUAUCUCACUGUUGUUUCAUUUCUUAGAUGAUUAGAAAGGUAAAGAAUUUUUUUUCUCAUGAAUUUGAUGCUGGUCAUGGUGGUACAACACCUUUAAUCUCACACUCAGAAAGCAGAAACAGGAGAAUAUCUGAGUUUGAAGUCAGCCUUGUCUACAGAGCAAGUUCCAGGACACUCAGGCUACACAGAGAAAAACUUGUCUCAAAAAACAAAAAUAAAUAAAUAGGUUUUUCCUCAACACAGAAAAAGAGCAAGAAUUGAAAUAUUUGAGAUUCUGCAAAGAAUAGAGGAAAAGAAAAAAUAUUAUAAUAUCAAAAUAAUUUUUAAAAACUCAUUUAACCACUUUGCCAUUUGUACUCCUUUUUUCCCCUGUCUGGUCUAUACCACCUUACUUGUCAUCCUCUGGACUGUAGUCCAGUUCCACAUUCUUUCACCAGCAUAGAGCUUACCAAUCAGAUUAGCCCCAUGGAUCCUCCUGGAUCUUCCUCCCCAGCACCGGAAUUUUAUGUGUACACUACCACACACUGCAUUUUUAUGUUGUUAUGAAAGUUAUCAAAUCAGGUCCUUAUGCUUCUUAGGCAAGCAUUUUACCUACUGAGCUAUCUUCCUACCGGAACUACUUGUUCAGAAGCACCUAUUUAGGUCCCCUAUCCACUUCUUCCAUGAGCUGUCUGAAUUACACAUUUCAUAAAGUAACUAUUCAGCAUGUGAAUGCUUUCAUUCAUUCCAUAGGGGGGUUAUCUGUUAACUAUAUCUUUUCUUGUGUAGAAAGCUAUUGUUUUGUAUAACCCCAUUAGUCUAUUUUUUGUAGUUAUGUUUUUAAAACAAAAUUUACAAACACUAAUUAAAAAGCUUUUCCUGUUUUAAUAUAUUAGGUGAUACUUAAAAGAGGAUAUUAACUAAGGACACAACUUUGUCCUAUUUAACAUACUGGUUUUUUUAUUCUGCAAGAGUGGUCAGUGCUCCUAAUAGCUGAGCCACCUUGCAGCCUCAAGAAUGCUUGAGUCAGAGAGUAAGGCAAUAUGGCCCCUGUAGUUAGGCAGACUUGGGUUUUGAUUUUAGCUGAUGUUGUUUCUUUUGGGGAUUUCAAGACAGUGUUUCUUGAUGUAGCUUUGGGUGUCCUAGAACUUCCUCCUGACUGUCUCUGCCUCCCAAGGGAUUAAAGAUUAAAGGCAUGCAACACCACCAUACUGGGCUAAAAUAAAUUCCACUUAAUUAUAAUGAAUAAUAAUUAUGUAUUGUUUAAUUCAGUUGGUUAUUCCUUUCUGAAGAACUUUUGUUACUAGCCUAUAGUACUAGACUUUUGUUUUCAUAUGAGAGUAAUGACUUAACUUAUAGUAUUAGUUCUUCAAGGUUUAGUGAAUUUCAUCAGUGAUAUCAUUAGGUUCUGGGCUUUAUGUGACAAAAGACUUAAUUCCUGAUUUUUCCAUCUUCUGAUGACACAACAUUCUCAACUCUGGCCAUCAAUAAUAGCAUGCAAACUUAAAAUGCUCUAAUGCUAAAAGUGUUAUACAUGAAACACUACUAAUGGUUUGUCCUAUCUAUUCUGCUAAUAUUCAAUCUAAAAUAUUAUCUAUUAGAGACUACUGGUACAGUCUAACUGCAAGCACUAUGAGGUUUCUAAACUAAGCAGGCCAUUCAGUGCAUGAAACUUUCAACAUUUGGUCUGUUUUUUUAAAACCCUUCAUAUCUUGGUAAGUUUUCAGUACACUCAAUCUCAACUCAAUUAUAACUAUAGUGUUCCACAAAACAUCAUUAAACCUUUUUCAAAAGAAAAAGAAAAAGAAAAAGAAAAAGGAAAAGAAAAAGAAAAAAAAAGUACAUGGGGAGCAAAGAUGUGGUGGCACACACUUUAAUCUCAGCGCUUAGGAGGCAGGGGCAGGCCAGUCUCUGAGUUUGAGGCCAAAUUGGUCUACAGAGCCAGUUUCAGGACAGCCAGGGUUAAACAGAGAAACCCUAUCUCGAUGGGGAGGGGGAAAAAAGGUACAUGGGGAAGGCAGUUCUUUAGUUUCUACUAUACCUGCAGCUAUCUAGGUAUACAAAAUAAACGAGUUUUCUUUUAAACAACAACAACAACAACAAAAGUUAUUUGGCUACUAAACUACAAUAAAAUAUAACCUCACAUCCAUUAGGAUGACUAUUGUUCCCCAAAGAAAUUUUAAUAUACGGGUCAAGUUGUAAAAAAAAAAUGUAUAAAACUUUUAUUCUAAGAAAUGUAAGUAAAAUGGUAUAGCUAUUGUUUAAAACAGCAUGAUAUAUUCUCAAAAUAUUAAAAAUACAAUUACCAUGAUAUUCUAUAGGACCAAAAGAAUUUGACAAAAGAUUAGACCCAUGCUAAUCACAACAUUAUUCACAAUUGCUAAAGCACAGAAUUAACCCAUUAACAAAUGAGCAGAAUAUAGCAUAUACAAGCAAGCAAGUGUUAUUCAGCC
rnacentral:lncRNA from 1 species